CAGGGGUACAACCCUCCGAAAGGGGGGCUGAUACCGCGUACAUCCCCUGGGGGCAUCCCCGGGGGAGGAAAGCCCUUUUGGGCGGGCGGGGAUGGGCAUGCGGCGCAUUAGGAAGACGGCGGUGUGACGGACCACCGUUCCGACGAUGCGUAGGGGUUCUGAGAGGAAGGCCCCCCACACUGGUACUGAGACACGGACCAGACUCCUACGGGAGGCAGCAGUGAGGAAUAUUGGUCAAUGGCCGGAAGGCUGAACCAGCCAAGCCGCGUGAGGGAGGAAGGCGCAGAGCGUCGCAGACCUCUUUUGCCGGGGGACAAAAGGCCGGACUCGUCCGGUCCUGAGGGUACCCGGAGAAAAAGCAUCGGCUAACUCCGUGCCAGCAGCCGCGGUAAUACGGAGGAUGCGAGCGUUAUCCGGAUUCAUUGGGUUUAAAGGGUGCGCAGGCGGGCCUUUAAGCCGGCGGUGAAAUCGCGGGGCUCAACCCCGCCGAGCCGUCGGAACUGGGGGCCUUGAGUGCGGCGGAGGCAUGCGGAAUGCGCGGUGUAGCGGUGAAAUGCAUAGAUAUCGCGCAGAACCCCGAUUGCGGAGGCAGCGUGCCGUGCCGCCACUGACGCUGAGGCACGAAAGCGCGGGGAUCGAACAGGAUUAGAUACCCUGGUAGUCCGCGCCGUAAACGAUGGAUGCUGGGUGUCCGGGGCGUUCAGGCCCUGGGUGCCGGAG
rnacentral:rRNA from 1 species